GGUUCAGUGGUCUAGUGGUUAUGAUUUCUGUCUCACAACAUGUUGUUCUUAACACAGAAGGUCCCCGGUUCGACCCCGGGCUGAACCA